UAGUGGCGAACGGGUGAGUAACACGUGGGCAAUCUGCCCUGCACUCUGGGACAAGCCCUGGAAACGGGGUCUAAUACCGGAUACGAGCCUCCCGGGCAUCUGGGAGGUUGGAAAGCUCCGGCGGUGCAGGAUGAGCCCGCGGCCUAUCAGCUUGUUGGUGAGGUAACGGCUCACCAAGGCGACGACGGGUAGCCGGCCUGAGAGGGCGACCGGCCACACUGGGACUGAGACACGGCCCAGACUCCUACGGGAGGCAGCAGUGGGGAAUAUUGCACAAUGGGCGAAAGCCUGAUGCAGCGACGCCGCGUGAGGGAUGACGGCCUUCGGGUUGUAAACCUCUUUCAGCAGGGAAGAAGCGAAAGUGACGGUACCUGCAGAAGAAGCGCCGGCUAACUACGUGCCAGCAGCCGCGGUAAUACGUAGGGCGCAAGCGUUGUCCGGAAUUAUUGGGCGUAAAGAGCUCGUAGGCGGCUUGUCGCGUCGAUUGUGAAAGCCCGGGGCUUAACUCCGGGUCUGCAGUCGAUACCGGGCAGGCUAGAGUGUGGUAGGGGAGAUCGGAAUUCCU
rnacentral:rRNA from 1 species